rnacentral:rRNA from 1 species
UACGAAGGGGGCUAGCGUUGCUCGGAAUCACUGGGCGUAAAGCGCACGUAGGCGGAUUGUUAAGUCGGGGGUGAAAUCCUGGAGCUCAACUCCAGAACUGCCUUCGAUACUGGCGAUCUUGAGUCCGGGAGAGGUGAGUGGAACUCCGAGUGUAGAGGUGAAAUUCGUAGAUAUUCGCAAGAACACCAGUGGCGAAGGCGGCUCACUGGCCCGGAACUGACGCUGAGGUGCGAAAGCGUGGGGAGCAAACAGG